CCUACGGGAGGCAGCAGUGAGGAAUAUUGGUCAAUGGACGAGCGUCUGAACCAGCCAAGUAGCGUGAAGGAUGACUGCCCUAUGGGUUGUAAACUUCUUUUAUAAAGGAAUAAAACGAGGCACGUGUGCCUUUUUGCAUGUACUUUAUGAAUAAGGAUCGGCUAACUCCGUGCCCGCAGCCGCGGUAAUACGGAGGAUCCGAGCGGUAUUCGGAUUUAUUGGGUUUAAAGGGAGCGUAGAUGGGUUGUUAAGUCAGUUGUGAAAGUUUGCGGCUCAACCGUAAAAUUGCAAUUGAUACUGGCAGUCUUGAGUACAGUUGAGGUAGGCGGAAUUCGUGGUGUAGCGGUGAAAUGCUUAGAUAUCACGAAGAACCCCGAUUGCGAAGGCAGCUUACUAGACUGUGACUGACAUUGAUGCUCGAAAGUGUGGGUAUCAAACAGGAUUAGAUACCCUUGUAGUC
rnacentral:rRNA from 1 species